UUUUUCUGGUUUUAUAUGUCGAUUAACUAUAUAUUUUUGGUUUUAUAUGUCGAUGACAUACUGCUAGCCUGUAAUGAUAUAGCAUUAUUGCAUGAAACUAAGAAAUUUCUUUCAAAGAAAUUUGAAAUGUAAGAUCUUGGUGAAGCUUCUUUUGUAUUAGGAAUUCAGAUAUAACGAGAUCGCUCCAAAAGUGUUCUCGGUCUGUCACAAAAGGGCUAUAUCGAUAAGGUUCUGAAAAGAUUUGGUAUGCAGGAUUGUAAACCAGGCAACAUGCCUGUUUCUAAGGGAGACAAGUUUAGUCUCAAACAGUGCCCAAAUAAUAAUUAUGAAAUUUCGGAAAUGCAGAAGACGCCUUAUGCUUCGG
rnacentral:lncRNA from 1 species